rnacentral:rRNA from 1 species
UUGGACCUGAUAUCAAACAAGACUA